rnacentral:pre_miRNA from 9 species
UCUCGAUAGCGUAAAAGUUAACUCCAAUUUGUAUGGAGUUGGAGCGUUUUGCCUACGAUGGUCGCUAGGGGCGCUGUUCCAACUGCGUACAAAUUUGAGUUAACUAUUACGCUAUCAA